UAUACGACCGUACCGCAAACCGACACUGGUGCGCGAGAUGAGUAUUCUAAGGCGCUUGAGAGAACUCAGGAGAAGGAACUCGGCAAAUUGACACCGUAACUUCGGAAGAAGGUGUGCCCUAUUAGUGUGUAGUGAACAACGAAGCAUGAAUGGGUUGCAAAAAAUCGGUGGCUGCGACUGUUUAUUAAAAACACAGCACUCUGCAAACACGAAAGUGGACGUAUAGGGUGUGACGCCUGCCCGGUGCUGGAAGAUUAAAUGAUGGGGUGCAAGCUCUUGAUUGAAGUCCCAGUAAACGGCGGCCGUAACAAUAACGGUCCUAAGGUAGCGAAAUUCCUUGUCGGGUAAGUUCCGACCUGCACGAAUGGCGUAACGAUGGCCACACUGUCUCCUCCUGAGACUCAGCGAAGUUGAAAUGUUUGUGAUGAUGCAAUCUCCCCGCGGAAAGACGGAAAGACCCCAUGAACCUUUACUGUAGCUUUGUAUUGGACUUUGAACAGAUCUGUGUAGGAUAGGUGGGAGGCUUUGAAGCAGGGUCGCUAGAUCUUGUGGAGCCAACGUUGAAAUACCACCCUGGUGUGUUUGAGGUUCUAACCUAGGUCCAUUAUCUGGAUCGGGGACAGUGCAUGGUAGGCAGUUUGACUGGGGCGGUCUCCUCCCAAAGCGUAACGGAGGAGUUCGAAGGUACGCUAGUUACGGUCGGACAUCGUGACGAUAGUGCAAUGGCAUAAGCGUGCUUAACUGCGAGACUGACAAGUCGAGCAGAUGCGAAAGCAGGACAUAGUGAUCCGGUGGUUCUGUAUGGAAGGGCCAUCGCUCAACGGAUAAAAGGUACUCUGGGGAUAACAGGCUGAUACCGCCCAAGAGUUCAUAUCGACGGCGGUGUUUGGCACCUCGAUGUCGGCUCAUCUCAUCCUGGGGCUGUAGCCGGUCCCAAGGGUAUGGCUGUUCGCCAUUUAAAGAGGUACGUGAGCUGGGUUUAAAACGUCGUGAGACAGUUUGGUCCCUAUCUUCCGUGGGCGCUGCAGAUUUGAGGAAGCCUGCUCCUAGUACGAGAGGACCGGAGUGGACACACCUCUGGUGUAUCGGUUGUCACGCCAGUGGCAUUGCCGAGUAGCUAAGUGUGGAAGAGAUAACCGCUGAAAGCAUCUAAGCGGGAAACUCGUUUCAAGAUGAGAUCUGCCGGGGCCUUGAGCCCCCUAAAGAGUCGUUCAAGACCAGGACGUUGAUAGGUCAGGUGUGGAAGCUG
rnacentral:rRNA from 1 species